rnacentral:tRNA from 2 species
GCCGGCAUAGCUCAGCGGUAGAGCAACGGUUUUGUAAACCGUCGGUCGUCGGUUCGAUCCCGACUGCCGGCU